CGAACCCUAAAAAGUCCUAAAAA
rnacentral:tRNA from 1 species